rnacentral:rRNA from 1 species
CGUAUGGUUCUAUUUUGUUGGUUUCUAGGACCAUCGUAAUGAUUAAUAGGGACGGUCGGGGGCAUCAGUAUUCAGUCGUCAGAGGUGAAAUUCUUGGAUUGCCGGAAGACAAACUACUGCGAAAGCAUUUGCCAAGGAUGUUUUCAUUGAUCAAGAACGAAGGAAGGGGGAUCGAAAACGAUUAGAUACCGUUGUAGUCUCUUCUGUAAACUAUGCCAAUUGGGGAUCGGCACAGGAUUUUUAAUGACUGUGUCGGCACCCGAAGAGAAAUCUUUAAAUGAGGUUCGGGAGGGAGUAUGGUCGCAAGGCUGAAACUUAAAGGAAUUGACGGAAGGGCACCACCAGGUGUGGAGCCUGCGGCUUAAUUUGACUCAACACGGGGAAACUCACCAGGUCCAGACACAAUAAGGAUUGACAGAUUGAUAGCUCUUUCUUGAUCUUGUGGUUGGUGGUGCAUGGCCGUUCUUAGUUGGUGGAGUGAUUUGUCUGGUUAAUUCCGAUAACGAACGAGACCUUAACCUGCUAAAUAGACCAGCCGACUUUGGUUAGCUGCUGUCUUCUUAGAGGGACUAUCAGCGUUUAGCUGAUGGAAGUUUGAGGCAAUAACAGGUCUGUGAUGCCCUUAGAUGUUCUGGGCCGCACGCGCGCUACACUGACAGAGCCAGCGAGUCUACCACCUUUGCCGGAAGGCAUGGGUAAUCUUGUGAACUCUGUCGUGA